rnacentral:sRNA from 1 species
GCUGGGCGUGGUGGCCCAGGCCUGUAAUCCUAGCAGCUGAGGAGGCUGAGGCAGGAGUUCCUAGCCAGCCUCAGAAACUUAGCAAGGGCCUAAGGAACUCAGCAAGACCCUGUCUCUA